rnacentral:tRNA from 1 species
GCCCCGGUAGUUCAAUGGACAGAACGCGGGCCUUCUAAGCCCGAUGCUAGGGGUUCGAAUCCUCUCCGGGGCA